AAGUCGUAACAAGGUUUCCGUAGGUGAACCUGCGGAAGGAUCAUUACAAAAGGAGGAGUCUCCUACUGUGGUAGCAGGUCCGCCUGCUACCCGACGAACACGGCCCCCCUCACGGGGGGUACCCCCCAACCCUUGCUUAUUAUACCUUUGUUGCUUUGGCGGGCCGCGUCAAGCCACCGGCUCACGCUGGUGAGCGCCCGCCAGAGGCCCCAACUCUUGAUUUUAUGAUGUCUGAGUACUAUAUAAUAGUUAAAACUUUCAACAACGGAUCUCUUGGUUCUG
rnacentral:misc_RNA from 1 species